rnacentral:rRNA from 1 species
AAAAUGGAGAGUUUGAUCCUGGCUCAGGAUGAACGCUGGCGGUAUGCUUAACACAUGCAAGUCGAACGGUCUUUUCGGAGAUAGUGGCGGACGGGUGAGUAACGCGUAAGAAUCUACCUUCAGGUUGGGGACAACCACUGGAAACGGUGGCUAAUACC